GAAAAAUUUAGAAAGCAACACUCAAAUUUAAAAAAUCUAUUUCUUGUUACCUACAAUAAAAACAGCAAAUGCUAUUAAAUACUGAGCUUCAACAUACGUUUCUACAUAAGGAAGAUUGUACAUAAAUAAUUUUAAUAAUAAUAAAGCAAGAAAUAAUUAUAACAAAUAAAUAUUGCACUUUUAUAUUAUUCUCUAGUCAUUUAAAUGUUUGCAACAAUUUUGAAAAAUAAGCGGCACUGCUUGGCCUCACUUCCAUUGUUGUAAAGUUAGCAAUAUUGUUUGGCCUAGCUUCCACUUUGGAUUUAUAUUACCGCACCAUAUUCAAGAUGAGGUUGUACGAUAGAGCAGGGCUUCUUGAGCAUAGGAGUAAGUUUUGGAAUAAAAAUAUCUCAAAAACUACGCAUUACAAGAUAAAACAUCUAAUGGAUAAAAGUCAGAGAAUUAAAAUGUUAAAACAAUGCGCAAUAAAAGAUUGCUGAAAAGCAGAUUAGUAAGGUGCACGAGCACUUUUUUAAUUUUGGACCAAAAAAGAUUAUGGACGAAUUUGAAAGAAUGAACAUAAUUAUCAAAGAAGCAGCAUUAGAUAGGGUACCGCAAGUUGUUCAAAAGUUGUAUUCCGGCAUAGAUAUUCUAUAUACCCUAAUACAAAUUCAUUAGAACACCAUCAGAAGAGGGGUGUUGUGUCUAAUUGUUGUGGUUAUUGCUGAAGAUAAUAUUUCUUCUCCUGGGUCGCAACUUAUUUUAGGAGAAAAUAUAAUAUUUGUUGACAAAAGGGAAAGUAAUAGCAAUCAGUCAUCGGCAUAAUGAUUUACUACACGUGCUUCAAAUUAUCGCUUAUUAUUAUAAUGUAGACCUAUCGUACCCAAGUUCGUUUGAAGGAGAUUUAGGGCUGUUGCAUCAUUAUGUUUUGCAAUUACCAUUUGCUUUUACAAAUAAGCUUUGGCUAAAAAUAUGCAAAGUCUUGUGAAAAGCGCUUUUGUUUCUUCGUAUAUUGAAUCUGUUAAACUCUUAGCUUAGAAUAAAAACAUUGAGACAAUUCAAAGUUAAAUUUUUAUAUCUGAUGAUGGUUUUUAAAUAAAUAAAAUAUAGUUUUUAUUUUA